UGGGGAAUUUUGGACAAUGGGGGAAACCCUGAUCCAGCCAUCCCGCGUGUGCGAUGAAGGCCUUCGGGUUGUAAAGCACUUUUGGCAGGAAAGAAACGUCGCGGGUUAAUACCCCGCGAAACUGACGGUACCUGCAGAAUAAGCACCGGCUAACUACGUGCCAGCAGCCGCGGUAAUACGUAGGGUGCAAGCGUUAAUCGGAAUUACUGGGCGUAAAGCGUGCGCAGGCGGUUCGGAAAGAAAGAUGUGAAACUCCCAGAGCUUAACUUUGGAACUGCAUUUUUAACUACCGGGCUAGAGUGUGUCAGAGGGAGGUGGAAUUCCGCGUGUAGCAGUGAAAUGCGUAGAUAUGCGGAGGAACACCGAUGGCGAAGGCAGCCUCCUGGGAUAACACUGACGCUCAUGCACGAAAGCGUGGGGAGCAAACAGGAUUAGAUACCCUGGUAGUCCACGCCCUAAACGAUGUCAACUAGCUGUUGGGGCCUUCGGGCCUUGGUAGCGCAGCUAACGCGUGAAGUUGACCGCCUGGGGAGUACGGUCGCAAGAUUAAAACUCAAA
rnacentral:rRNA from 1 species